CCUCAACUGCAUAUAUCAUAAAUUGCUAUUGCAAAUAGAAGUAUUAUGUUCAACAACUGACAUUUUCAGAUAUUAUUUUGACAACCACACUUUGGUGCUUACAAUUCAUUCUCUAUUGUCAUAGAUUUGGUGGGCACUGUCACCUGUGAUCUUUGUGAUAGGACUUUCUUUAAGCACGUACUGAUGAAACUGUCCCUUAAUAUUUUUUUCUUAAAGUCUACACUCUGAUAGGGUUGGAUCCUAUAUGCUACUUUUAUUAUUGUCCUGUAAAUGGUUCAGUGCCUAUAAUUUAGGCUGUGUAGACUGGGGCAUAAAGGAAAUUACCUCUGCUAAUAAAUUACUACUAGAUUAUAGUGAUAAAGAAAACAGUAUACACAUUUGGCUUGUGUAUUCAUUUGCCUAUAACUAAUCAUAAUUCCAUUUAUUUUUACAUAAAAAAGAGAAUACUUCAAAAUGAGAAGAUCCUGCCAUGGAAAAGACGACUGGGCGGACAUAAAGUGUAAAGGAGGGGAAAUAACUCACCACAUGCAGCAGGACACCUUCAGCUGUGGGGUCUUUGUAAUGCAGAUGGCCAAGGAAGUUGCACAGAACUUCCCCAACAUCCCCUCAAAAAAAUUGAUAUAGAACCUUCAAAAAUACAUGGAGCAACUGUGAAAAUAAAUGGCUGAGGAUAUACUAAAAAUGUCUGAGUUCAACAAAGCCAACAACUGCUUCAUGUGUGCCA